AAAUAAACAAUUAGACAAUGACAAUAGGGAAGAGGGACUCAACAACGAAGGUUCCUGCUGGAGAAGAAAUCCUCUAUGAGCUUCCUCGCCCCUUUGACAACUUCAACACAUGGGAUCGUUCUCUGUUCGAAGACUUGCAAGUUACGCGCCAACCAGAUCUUCCAUAAGGUGAUUGCAGCAAGGCUCCGUCUUUGUUUUCCUUGGGUUCCACCACCGCUUUGCAUUACUAUCUCCCUCCACCAUUUCCAUAACACUGUAGUAUUUUCAGGACACUGGGGAUUCACAUUCGAAAACCUGGACUGCAGCUUGAGUUUAACUGGGAGUCCUCCAUGAAUAGCUUUCCACAGAAAUACCUUCACCUUUGCUGGAGAAUGUAAGGACCAGAUCGAUUGCCACACAUCUUUUUGCUUGAAGACUUCCGGGAGGAACUCUAUUGGCGAAUGAAAAAAUUGGAAUGCAAUUCGGUAUCCUGAGUUCACUUUGUAGGCCCAGAUAUUUAUCUUGGGCUCCAACGUGUGGAACCUGAAGGAGUUGUGCUAGCUCUGCCCGAAUCUGCUGAGGAGUAUUUUGACUGAAAAAGAUUGAUGAUUUAUUCAGGUUAACAAUCUGGCCGCUAACUCUGGAGUAGUCUUGUAGUAUUUGCAUUAAUCUUUGGCAUGUUUGAACAUUUGCUUUACUAAAGAGGAUGGAGUCGUCUGCGAAAAAGAGAUGACUGAUUGUAGGGCACCUCCGGUUUAAUUUAAGUCCAGAAAAUUGCUGUCUCUGUUCUCCUAUGUGGAGCAGAUAAGAUAAACCCUCUGCACAGACUAGGAAUAGAUAUGGGGAAAGAGAAUCUCCUUGUCGGAGUCCCCUUGUUGGCUUAAACAAGCCGUGAGAGUGUCCUUCCACAAUAACAGAGUAAGAAACCGUCGUAACACAUUCCUUCAUCCAGUUUAUCCAUUUUUUGCAAAAACCAAGCCUCUUCAUAACCUCCCACACAAAACUCCAUUCAACCCGAUUAUAGGCUUUGCUCAUGUCAAGUUUAAGAGCUAAGUCGUACUCGCCAUACUUCUUAUUCUUCAGUAUCUGCUCCUGGAACCUUUGGAAUCAAACAUAUUUGGGUGCGGUUGAGGGAACGCAGCAUCUUUCCCCCCUGAGAAAAAACUUCUGACAACCAUAGUUACAUCUUCUUUAAUAAUACUCCAGUAAAAUUGAUAAAACUUUGCCGUGAAUCCAUCCUCUCCUGGUGCUGAGAAUGGGUUAAUAGAGAAGACUGCACUCUUGACUUCCUUAUUACAGAUCGGCCUUGUGAGAAUUCUGUUCUCCCUUCUAUCCACUUUAAUCUCUAUACCUUCCAGAGUCUCCUCCGGGUCAAUUGGAUUUGAAGUUGUGAAUAAAUUUUCAAAAAAUUCUUGGGCUAUUCUACCAAUUUCUUCCGUCUCUGAUUGGUACUGACCGCUUUCAUCUUGGAGCUUUUCAAUCUUGUUGUGUUUAUUCCUUGAACAAAAUUUAGAAUAAAAAAAUUUUGUGUUUUGAUCUCCCCAUUGUAACCAGUUGACUCUAGAUUUCUCCUUUCAAUACCUCUCUUCUUUCUCAUAAGCAUUUUCUAGAGUUGCCUCAAGGAUGAGAAUCUGCUGCUUGUUAGCUCCAGCCCCCUUCAGUUUCUCGAUUUCUAACUUCUGCUUGGUCUCUUCUAUUAUCUUAGCCGAGUUGUCUGGCUUCAGUUUCAGUCACUCAACAAUGUUAUGCCGACAUUGUUUGAGUUUAUUGAAUAGCCUAAACAUAGGAGAACCUGAGUAUUCUGUCUUCCAUGCAUCUGUUACCAUAGUAGUCAUCUCUUCUUCUCCACACCACCUUUCUUGAAAGCAGAAAUGUCGUUUUGGCCUCCGAUCCUGCAGUUCUGAUUCCAAAAGAAUAGGUCUAUGAUCUGACCCCUGAUCCUCCAAAUGCAAAAUUUUUGCUGUUGGGUAAUCCUACCGCCAAUGGUUAGAAACCAGACAACGAUCUAACAUCUCUCUGAUAAAAGAGUCUCCAAACUGUCUGUUGUUCCACGUGUAUUUAAUUCCUUCAUACCCCAAGUCACUUAAAUUGCCACCAUCAAGAAAGUUCUGAAACUUUUCAACAGAACUAGUUGCUUUAGGCCUCCCUCCCUCCUUCUCAUGAUGAGCUAGGAUAGCAUUAAAGUCUCCCAGAACUAAGAAUAAUUCCUCUCUCGAGUUGAGAAUUUGGAGUAACUUAUCAAACUGCCCACUCCAUUGAUUUUCUUCACUAUGCAGGUGCACUGCAAUCACAUUCCAAAAUUUGUUUUUGCUAGUAUCCAGAACUUUGAAAUGGAUAAAGAUUGCUGAUUCUAUAACAUUAAUUUGCACUUCAGCCCAUCAUGCUAGCACCAAACCUCUAGCACCAUAUUCAAUGUUAAAAAUAAAUAAAUGUAUAAAAAAAUCUUAAAAUUUAUUUCUUAUUAAUUUACAUAAUUUUAAUACUUUAAAGUUACCCAAAGUAAAGUUUAAUAUUUUAGUAGCUACUAUUAUAUUAAAAGUAAUAAAAAAAAGUAUAAAAUGAGAAUAUAUUACUAUAUCGCUAAUAAAAAAAAAAAAAACAAAACAAAAAAAAGAAAGAAAGAAUUGUCGUCGCUGAUAAAAAUAACAAUUAC